UUAGAGUUUGAUCCUGGCUCAGAACGAACGCUGGCGGCGUGGAUAAGACAUGCAAGUCGAACGAGAGAAUUGCUAGCUUGCUAAUAAUUCUCUAGUGGCGCACGGGUGAGUAACACGUGAGUAACCUGCCCCCGAGAGCGGGAUAGCCCUGGGAAACUGGGAUUAAUACCGCAUAGUAUCGAAAGAUUAAAGCAGCAAUGCGCUUGGGGAUGGGCUCGCGGCCUAUUAGUUAGUUGGUGAGGUAACGGCUCACCAAGGCGAUGACGGGUAGCCGGUCUGAGAGGAUGUCCGGCCACACUGGAACUGAGACACGGUCCAGACACCUACGGGUGGCAGCAGUCGAGAAUCAUUCACAAUGGGGGAAACCCUGAUGGUGUGACGCCGCGUGGGGGAAUGAAGGUCUUCGGAUUGUAAACCCCUGUCAUGUGGGAGCAAAUUAAAAAGAUAGUACCACAAGAGGAAGAGACGGCUAACUCUGUGCCAGCAGCCGCGGUAAUACAGAGGUCUCAAGCGUUGUUCGGAAUCACUGGGCGUAAAGCGUGCGUAGGCUGUUUCGUAAGUCGUGUGUGAAAGGCGCGGGCUCAACCCGCGGACGGCACAUGAUACUGCGAGACUAGAGUAAUGGAGGGGGAACCGGAAUUCUCGGUGUAGCAGUGAAAUGCGUAGAUAUCGAGAGGAACACUCGUGGCGAAGGCGGGUUCCUGGACAUUAACUGACGCUGAGGCACGAAGGCCAGGGGAGCGAAAGGGAUUAGAUACCCCUGUAGUCCUGGCAGUAAACGGUGCACGCUUGGUGUGCGGGGAAUCGACCCCCUGCGUGCCGGAGCUAACGCGUUAAGCGUGCCGCCUGGGGAGUACGGUCGCAAGAUUAAAACUCAAAGAAAUUGACGGGGACCCGCACAAGCGGUGGAGUAUGUGGCUUAAUUCGAUGCAACGCGAAGAACCUUACCUGGGCUUGACAUGUAAUGAACAACAUGUGAAAGCAUGCGACUCUUCGGAGGCGUUACACAGGUGCUGCAUGGCCGUCGUCAGCUCGUGUCGUGAGAUGUUUGGUUAAGUCCAGCAACGAGCGCAACCACUGUUGCCAGUUACCAGCACGUGAAGGUGGGGACUCUGGCGAGACUGCCCAGAUCAACUGGGAGGAAGGUGGGGACGACGUCAGGUCAGUAUGGCCCUUAUGCCCAGGGCUGCACACGUACUACAAUGCCCAGUACAGAGGGGGCCGAAGCCGCGAGGCGGAGGAAAUCCUGAAAACUGGGCCCAGUUCGGACUGUAGGCUGCAACCCGCCUACACGAAGCCGGAAUCGCUAGUAAUGGCGCAUCAGCUACGGCGCCGUGAAUACGUUCCCGGGUCUUGCACUCACCGCCCGUCA
rnacentral:rRNA from 1 species